UCCUUCGUUCACUAUCGUCUUCUCCUUUCCUUCUUCGUUCCUGGUUGGCUGCUAGCGUGGGGUUCACGUUGCUGUGAGUUUGAUGUCACAAGGAGUUCGAUCAAUGUACUGGCCCUCCCUCUUUCAGCUCACACGACCAGCCUCUGCUCCUUCUUGCUCUUCCUUUGCUCUAUCAUCCUGGGGUGAGAUUAAUUGUUGAUCAAGCAUUGUGGUACUAAUAGACAUCUGUGGAGCUAUUGUUUGACCACGAUAAC